GGAAUCCCUCGAAUAUCUCCCCUUUGAAUGUGUUCUUGAGAUUGACGAGGCUAUGAAAUUGGGUGAACCUUCUGGGGAUUGAUCCAGAAAACGAGUUGUUAGAUAAAUCCAAGUAGAAGAGGUAUUGCAAGUCAGCGAUGGAAGACGGAAUUUCUCCACUUAAAGAGUUCCAUGACAGGUCUAGAAUCUGGAGCUUUGUGCUACUGCUCAGCCAUGGCGGCAUUGAACCGGUGAGUCUACAAUUUGCUAAUACAAACAGUCUUGUAUUCUCAAAUCUCAAGUUUAAAUUUGUGGGCAUAAUCUCUCCAUGGAAAUUGAAUGUCAGAAUCAACACAGUCAAGUUCUUGCAAUGUUGAAGAGCUGUCAGUGCUGCCGAGAGAUUACAUAUGCCAUUUCCUGAAAUUGAGAAAUGGGAAAGUGAUCUGAGAUUUUUGAAGCUUUCUGGGAAAUCACCAUCGAGUCUGUUUUUGCCA
rnacentral:lncRNA from 1 species